CUCACUCUACAACCGCACAGAAAUGGUUUUAAACAUUACGUACCAUAAUGGCGAGUCUUAGUUAAUAA
rfam:Firmicutes bacterium CAG:884 genomic scaffold, scf64